CCCGCGGCCACCACUUCCUGAGAGCCGGGGAUACCCCUCCCGGACGUCACGGAGGAGCCGGGGCGGCGGUGGCGGCCCGGGGCUCAUCCUGAAUUUGCAUCACGGGUGCUGCAGCAGCUGCUCGGCUCCUUUGUGGCUUUUCCCUCCCUGUUGAGUAACUACUUUGUUAACUGAAAAUACCAUGACGGGCCAGUCUGAUCACCAGCUCCAGACCUCAAAGAAAGUGAAGCUGUCGGGCAAGCCAAGGGGAGACUCCCCCAGCCGGCUGCGGUGGUAUCUGGUGGGUGGGUGGGUGUGUUAAGAGAAGCACUUGACAGUUUCCACGUAUUACUUCUUGCCUAACUCUUCACCCUCAAGAAGGUUUAAAAAUACUUUUUAUUUCCAUGCUGUAAAAAGAAAAAAAAUCUCAUCUGUGUUCUGCACACCAUCCAUUCCUCUCCCACCACCCCUUCCUUUCAAUUUCAGAAAUCUCGUGCAGAACUGGAAUCAGCUCGACCCCUAAAAGAGUCCUUGCGUUGCUCCUUGUUUUUUUUAACUCUUUCCUGUCAGGGUCGUCACGCAGGUAAAGAAUGAUGAUCACUCCUAUGAACAAGGAAAGACCAAAUCCAAAUUCCAAAGCAGAAGUUACUACCUAAGGAAAGAAGAACUAGGUCUGACAGUAGAUCAGGAUCCACCUGUUGGGGAAAACCCAAAAUAGGAGGAAGAGGUUAUUGAUGGCUCAUUCUUAUCUGAGAAAAAAAAUCAGUAUGGAAUAAUUGAGGUCAGUUAGAGAAAGAAUUAUGAUUACUGCUGAGGAUCAAACCCAGAACCUUAUGCAUUCUGGGUAAUGCUGUACAAUUGAGCUCCAUGCCUCUGUCUAUGCUUUUAUUAUUAUUUUUACUGGUAUUGGGAUUUCGCUUGCUCAGCUUUCUUGCUCAGCUGGUGUUCUACCACUUGACCUAUGCCUCUAGCCUACGUUUUUUUUUUUUAAAUAACUUUUGAUAGACAGCUAUUCAGAUGAAUGUAAAUAUCAGUUGUAAAAUAGUAAACAGAAUGGCAGGGUGGUUAUGAUUUAUUGUUAUGGAAAAAAGUGUAUUCAAAAGUAUGGACAGUGUAGUCUCUUCUAAAUAAAGAGCACAUACAAAAAUAUAAUGGUUUGUUUGUGGUCUUUUACAUAUAUACUUAUCUUUUUAUAGUGAGCAUAGGCCAUCUUUAAAAAUGUAAAGAAAUUUUAAAAAAUGAUAAAAAAUAAACUCAGUGAAACUUAAUGGUUCUUGUUGGCCCUGCCAUGAACCCUUCUCCUAUUUCUCCUAUCAAAAUUAAUGAAUACCUCCAUUUUCUCUCCAUGCUCCAUUUUUCACUCAUUUGUCACAUUUAAUUUCAUUUUGGUGUACAGAUUUGGUUUACCUACAGUGUGCAUUCUUACAGUAUUUGCAUCAUUGGUUCAUCAUUUCUUUUUGUGGCAGAAGUAAUAUUUUUCUUAUAGCAGGUGUGCAGUAGCAAUUGAGUUAGCAUGUAAAACUGGGAGCACAAUGAGUAAAUAGUUGCUGGUUGUAUGUGUGUUUUUGUAUAAUGCAGCCUAUAUUCAAUACUGUGCCUGCAAAUAUCACUAAUUAGCAAUACCAGUGACUUAGUAGAUGCUGUUUAGAGCAAGGGAAGGGGGACAGAGACUUCCUUUCCAAAAUGAUCUCUGUUUCUACA